rnacentral:lncRNA from 1 species
UAAGGAAAAACAGUGCUAUUUUAGAAAACUUUAACAGUGUGAUGGUCACAGAAAAUACCAUGAUCUUAAGGUUUGUUCUUUCAGAUACAUCCUAUGGUCUCACCGAGAGGACAAAAAUAUCAGGGAAAUAAAAAAGACAUAGUACAAAAGUAAAGAAAGGGGGAGAACAGAAAUUGAAGCACUGAAAGAAGAUUGGAUCUGGCAACUGAGACUUUAUGUUGGGGGAGGAAGAAACUGGUAGAGAGAGGGCUAAAGAGGUGAAGCAGCAGCUCCUCGCUGGCCGGGGUGGAAAGGAGGCUUGACUGCCACAGAUAUAGGUGGCGACUAAUGGGCUCAAGGCUCAGUGCUCCACAGUGGGGAAGGAAGUUGGGGAUAAGAUGGAAGCAGACUGAGGAAAGAACAGGUCAAGGUAGUAUAAAAAGAAAAAGAACAUCAAUUAGUUGAAACAUGUUUGAAGAGCUUUGAUGGGCUUUUGGAGAACCUUGGUAGCAAAAUAUGUGUUUUGGGUAAAAUAUUUGAAUAAA